GGAGAUGUGUCCGAGCUGGCUGAAGGAGCACGAUUGGAAAUCGUGUAAACGUGUGAGCGUUUCUAGGGUUCGAAUCCCUACAUCUCCGCCA
rnacentral:tRNA from 1 species